CGAGCCGACCCGAGUCGACUUGCUAGUUCGUCCGAGCCCGAUCGUGCCCGACCGCCAUAUGUCCGAUCGAACCGUGGGUGUCCUUCGCCUGCGGCCGAACACGGGAGAGACCGCUGAGCGUCACCAA
rfam:Rhodococcus sp. MEB064 contig_36, whole genome shotgun sequence.